CCUUGAAAGAUAUGGAUUAUCCGCUCAGUGGUGCAAUAUUUAAACAUUUUUUUUUUAGAUUUCUAAAAUUGUUCUUAAAUAAGUUUUAAAAACUGAUAAUAAAUGACAGAUAUAUCGCGGUUUAAAUUUGUCGAUUUUAUGGUUUACCAUAUUCAAGGCUACAAAAGAAUAAUACGAUUAUAAACCUCGUUUUUCGAUCGCAAUGAUAUAUCGUUGAUGCCAGUGUGUAUACUAAAUAAACCCUCAUUUCCUAUAAUAUACAUAUAUAU